GCCGGAGUUCCUGAUUUGCGUCCAUAUACUGAACAACACACGAAAAGCUUUAAUUCUCGUAAUAAAAGUCAAUGAAGAAAAAAAUCAAAAGAAUCAGAAGAUUGAAUGAUUGAUUUAUUGUGUUUACCGUCACUCUUGGCUUAAAAAUUGAGGUCAGUUGUAAUUGGUUGCGGAAACAAGAUUGCCCUGAGACAACAACCGACUCAUGCCAGGAAAAUUGAAGAUCAAAGUCAAUCGAAACAGGAGACGAACGCAAUUUUCACAUGCAGUGUUCAAACUCACAAUCUCAAACAUUCAAAGAAUCAGAUGCAUGACAUAUAAUUUUCUAAAAUGUGUAAGUAGUACAAAUAUAUUCUACAUGAUUAUACGAGAUUUGCCUCUAGAAAUAUUCAAAAAUCAAUUAACAAUUGUUCUAAAACAACCUUGUUAGGGUACUGAAAGCAUAAAUACAGUUAUACCAUAAUGUUGAUCCUCAAUUACAUUAAAGCUCAGGUGGGUUUAGAUAUUUUGCUUUUACUCUGUGAGGGGAUACAAGGUGAACAAAAUUUAUGUACGAAAUCUGAGAAAACAUUGAGAAAGGUAAUGGGGAAUGUGUCAUGUAUAUGUCAUGUCUGAUCCUUCAUUCUUAGAAUUGUAUAUACUAUACAAUUUGAUUAAAAAAGAUAAGCUCCUGAGUACAAUAUUCUUAAAGAUAUCUUAAGUUGAAUUUGAGAAGUAGAAAUAAAUCAUCUACGUUGGGCUGGCGGUAGUGACUUAAUCCAAGAAAGCUACAGUAUAAGUAAUAAACUUUCAAAUGUAAUUUAAAAUGUGAUGGUAUAUAAAGGCAACAGUAGUAUACCGCUGUUCAAAACUCGUAAAUCAAUGUUAUAAAAUAUAACAAUAAAAAAAUGCUAAGUAAAACAUAUACCCACACAAUAUGAAACAAUACCCUCAUAUAUUGAUAACUUAUGAUACCCUGUAAAGUCUAGUAAUGUAUCCUAGCAAAAUAUUUCACACUUACAGUAUGAGCUAUCAUAAAAAGCAUUUGGAAUAGCAUUGUCAUAAUAAUCAGUAAUUUUUUGUAACUAAUGACAUUAAAAAUGAGAAGAAAAAAAUGUGACAUCUACGUCGUAUUUAACAUAACAUAACAGAAAUUUUAAUACAAUAUGAUUAACUCAAUAGACGUUUUUU
rnacentral:lncRNA from 1 species